UGGCCAUACGUGGGUGCUGGUC
rnacentral:siRNA from 1 species